ACUCCUACGGGAGGCAGCAGUGAGGAAUAUUGGACAAUGGGUGGAAGCCUGAUCCAGCCAUCCCGCGUGCAGGAAGACGGCCCUAUGGGUUGUAAACUGCUUUUAUCUGGGGAUAAACCUACUUACGUGUAAGUAGCUGAAGGUACCAGAAGAAUAAGCACCGGCUAACUCCGUGCCAGCAGCCGCGGUAAUACGGAGGGUGCAAGCGUUAUCCGGAUUUAUUGGGUUUAAAGGGUCCGUAGGCGGACUGAUAAGUCAGUGGUGAAAUCCGACAGCUUAACUGUCGAACUGCCAUUGAUACUGUUAGUCUUGAGUAAGGUUGAAGUGGCUGGAAUAAGUAGUGUAGCGGUGAAAUGCAUAGAUAUUACUUAGAACACCAAUUGCGAAGGCAGGUCACUAAGUCUUAACUGACGCUGAUGGACGAAAGCGUGGGGAGCGAACAGGAUUAGAAACCCCAGUAGUCCC
rnacentral:rRNA from 1 species